rnacentral:tRNA from 1 species
GCCUUCGUGGUGUAGUGGUCAGCACGCUGGGCGCGUAUUCCAGUGGUUCGUGGUUCGAGUCCCGGCGAAGGCG